GCGGAUGUGGCGAAAUUGGUAGACGCGCUAGACUUAGGAUCUAGUGCCGCGAGGCGUGAAGGUUCGAGUCCUUUCAUCCGCA
rnacentral:tRNA from 1 species